rnacentral:rRNA from 1 species
CCUACGGGAGGCUGCAGUGGGGAAUAUUGCACAAUGGGCGCAAGCCUGAUGCAGCCAUGCCGCGUGUGUGAAGAAGGCCUUCGGGUUGUAAAGCACUUUCAGCGGGGAGGAAGGCGGUGAGGUUAAUAAUCUCAUCGAUUGACGUUACCCGCAGAAGAAGCACCGGCUAACUCCGUGCCAGCAGCCGCGGUAAUACGGAGGGUGCAAGCGUUAAUCGGAAUUACUGGGCGUAAAGCGCACGCAGGCGGUCUGUCAAGUCGGAUGUGAAAUCCCCGGGCUCAACCUGGGAACUGCAUUCGAAACUGGCAGGCUAGAGUCUUGUAGAGGGGGGUAGAAUUCCAGGUGUAGCGGUGAAAUGCGUAGAGAUCUGGAGGAAUACCGGUGGCGAAGGCGGCCCCCUGGACAAAGACUGACGCUCAGGUGCGAAAGCGUGGGGAGCAAACAGGAUUAGAUACCCUAGUAGUC